UAANNNNNNNNNNNNNNNNNNNNNNNNNNNNGCAAAUCAAGAAUAACUUUUAAUUUUGUAUUGAUAGGAGUAUUUGAAAAAAAUAAAAUAAAAUAAAAUAAAAUAAAAUAAAAUAAAAUAAAAUAAAAUAAAAUAAAAUAAAAUAAUAUGCCUUUAAAAUGACGUAGGUGAAAAAAGACAAUUUUAUUUUUGGGUGAUCUAUCCUUAUAAAUAAUUUUAAGAUGUGUGCUUGAUAUGAAUGCUGUUGGAUUAUUUUUUUAAAAGUUAGCAUAAAAUGAAUAAAACUGAUGCAUUACACACACACACACACACACACACACACACACACACAUUAUUCAAUCAUGCAUAUGUUUCUUUUUUUGUAAAUGAUGCAGAAUGUUCAUUUUUGGGUGAACUAUCCUUUUAAGCUCUGACCUCAAUCAUCAUGUCUCUUAUAAACCAUUGACUGGAAUGCUGCUUCCACAGUGAAACCUGUUGUCAACAUUAGGCCUAAUUGUUGAUUAAAUAAUGUAUCUGAGUAAAAGAUUUAAACAAUUAAAUAAAGAAGAAUUCCAGAUCCCACACUGCAUUUUCUUCAUGCUGACUUGAUAACCAGGAACGAAGCAGUGUAAACACAAUGAUGUUUUGAUUAUCUGUGGUCGGCUGGUGCUGCGUCAGCCUGCAACCUCUUAUAUUUAUGAUUCUGAAUCUUUGGUUGUUUAAUCCUGGUGGGAUGAAUCAGGCACAAUUUAUGAUGCUAUUUCUUUCUUUUUUCCUGCAGAAAAGCCGAUGCCACAGGGACCUCCUGGCGGUAUUUUUGGUAUCUUGGGAGUUGUGGUGGUGGCUGGUCUGAUUGUAGGAGUAGUGGCCACAAUAUGUAUGGUGUACAGGAGAAGACAGAAGCCCCGUACGGAAACAGACAACGAUCUGACUGACCUCCCCCCUGCUCAUAAGCCGGCCCCUCCACCACCCAAGAAAAAGAGCAGCGACAUGAAAAGCGGCCUGACGUCUGACGAGAUCCAGGUUGUUCAUCUGGACAGGGAGUAUGAGAUACAGAAGAUUCCUCUCCAGCCUCCAUACUAUGACAUGGCACAGUCUGAGUCCACCGCGUUCACCGAUAAGCCUAAUUCUGGGAACAAAGAGCUACCGAAUCCAGCUGAUUAUGUGAGCUGCCGUCACCCGGGCAACCAGGAACAAUUUGUUGAACCUCCACCUCCUUCUGCCUAUACACCUGUUACCUUCCUGCCCCAGAUCCCUUACACCCAGCACCCUACUAAUAUUACCCCCAUGUACACCUUUCAGCCCAACGCUGCCCCUCCCGGCCCCCGACCCCCAUUUAACUACCCCAAAGAGCAGUCUGUCUAGACCCACGACUGUCUGAGUUGGAAGACACCCCAUAGCCCCAUACAGGAUAGCCAUUAUGCGUCACACCUGGAGAGAACAACACUUCCUUCCUCAUUACUCUAGUCCUGCGCUGGCCUCAUCAGGAUGUGGGCAGUCUCUCGGAACAACGAAUAAAAGUGUCAGUAGUUUGUGGACCUGAAACCUU
ensembl:lncRNA